CUUAUACAUACAAUGCAGGUCUGUACAACCCACCCUACAGUGCUCAGUCACACCCUGCUGCAAAGACCCAAACCUACAGACCUCUUUCCAAAAGCCACUCCGACAACAGCCCCAAUGCCUUUAAGGAUGCGUCCUCCCCAGUGCCUCCCCCACAUGUUCCACCUCCAGUCCCGCCGCUUCGACCAAGAGAUCGGUCUUCAACAGAAAAGCAUGACUGGGAUCCUCCAGACAGAAAAGUGGACACAAGAAAAUUUCGGUCUGAGCCAAGGAGUAUUUUUGAAUAUGAACCUGGCAAGUCAUCAAUUCUUCAGCAUGAAAGACCAGUAAGCACUUGUCAUUAAACAGAAUAUGCCAGCUCGCUGGGCUCCCAGGGCUCCCCAAUAAACCUGAAUUUCAGACCCAUUAGCAAUUUUUGUCACAAAGGUAAUCACUUAGAAAUCAUGUUUAUUUUGUAUAAUGAUUUGUACAUCUCAUCUCAGAAUUGAAAGAUACAUGUUCUAAUAUAUUGUCUUUACUGACCAAAUACAAGUGUAUGUGUGUGUGUAUGUGUGUGUAUUUAUAUAUAUAUAUAUACACACACACAUGCAGGUGUAUAUACAUACACAUAUAUACACAUGUGUAUGCACACACAUAUAUAUAUUUAUAUGCAAGAUUCAUUUGCAUGUAACUCUAACUGUGCCUAAUCAUUAAUCAGAGUUUAACUUUUAAAAAAGUUCAUAAGUGCAAUACUUAAUUGCUAUCAUAGCUUGCUAAUGAGAAAAAUCAUUAAUUAAUCUCCCCAAUAUACAUGGACCCAGGCAGUUCCAUCCCUUGUUUUCCAUAUUGGCUUUUUAAUAUUUCUUUGGAUGAAGGGAGAAUUUUCCAAAUGCCCUUUUCAUAACAAGUUGUUUUAAUUGCUUCUUAUUAAAUCCCUCCUCAGGUUACC
rnacentral:lncRNA from 1 species